CUACAGAACCUACGGAAAUAGUACCGCCCAAAUGCGAUGUUCCUUACUUUUGCACGCCUGAAACGGGAACAAUUUGCGAGUCGCCAAUAACAACGACCGAAGCGCCGAUCACUUCCAAAAAAGAAGAAAUCAUGUGCCAGAAGGAGAAAACAUCCAUAAAGCGGAACAAGUGAUUAAGUCUGAUCAUUCGUUUUUGAGAAUUAUUAGCUGUGCCGCUAGAUCCUCCUUAAUAAAGAUUUAAAUUACAAUUU
rnacentral:lncRNA from 1 species